rnacentral:rRNA from 1 species
UACGUAGGUGGCAAGCGUUGUCCGGAUUUACUGGGCGUAAAGAGCGCGCAGGCGGUCUUUUAAGUCGAAUGUGAAAGCCCCCGGCUCAACUGGGGAGGGUCAUUCGAUACUGAUCGACUUGAAGGCAGGAGAGGGUAGUGGAAUUCCCGGUGUAGUGGUGAAAUGCGUAGAUAUCGGGAGGAACACCAGUGGCGAAGGCGACUACCUGGCCUGUUCUUGACGCUGAGGCGCG